UGAGACCAAGUGAAAGUGAACCGGAGCGCAAGCGUGGGAAACAGCUUCUCAUUUCAGUCUUGCGCUACCGUUCCUCACAUUUCCAGUUAGCGAAUGAGUGCCAAUUGCAUCGAGAUCAUGGUUGUGACGAGAAGUGCGCAUGGUCUCGAUUUUUGCUACGGUGUCGCCACUGCCUGUCAGGCUCGUUCCCUAUGUGGACGCUUCUGUGUGCAAG
rnacentral:misc_RNA from 1 species